GACGAACGCUGGCGGCGUGCUUAACACAUGCAAGUCGAACGGGUCUGCCCUGUUUUUUGCGGGGUGGGUCAGUGGCGAACGGGUGAGUAACACGUGAGUAACCUGCCCCUCACUUCUGGAUAACCGCUUGAAAGGGUGGCUAAGACGGGGUGUUCUGGCUGUGCCGCAUGGUUUGUCGGGGAAAGCUUCACUUUUGUGGUGUUUUGGUGGGGGAUGGGCUCGCGGCCUAUCGGCUUGUUGGGGGGGGGAUGGCCUGCCAAGGCUUUGGCGGGUAGCCGGCCGGAGAGGGAGGGCGGUCACACUGGGACUGCGAUCCGGACCAGACUGCUGCGGGGGGGAGCAGUGGGUGGUACUGCACGCUGGGCGGUAGCCCGAUGCAGCGACGUCGCGUGAGAGAUGCAUGCCUUCGUGUUGUGACCCUCUUUCGCCGGUGAAGAAGGUCCUGCUCUUUGUGGUGGGGUUGCCGGAAGCCGGGUUAUGACGCGCCGUAUAACUACG
rnacentral:rRNA from 1 species